CGGCGAAGUGAAGCAGCAAUAGCUCAAAUUUGAAAUCUGGCGUCUUCGGCGAUCCGAGUUGUAAUUUGUAGAGGAUGCUUCUGGGCAGCCACCGACCUAAGUUCCUUGGAACAGGACGUCAUAGAGGGUGAGAAUCCCGUAUGCGGUCGGAAAGGCACCCUACACGUAGCUCCUUCGACGAGUCGAGUUGUUUGGGAAUGCAGCUCUAAAUGGGAGGUAAAUUUCUUCUAAAGCUAAAUAUUGGCCAGAGACCGAUAGCGCACAAGUAGAGUGAUCGAAAGAUGAAAAGCACUUUGGAAAGAGAGUUAAAAAGCACGUGAAAUUGUUGAAAGGGAAGGGAUUGCAACCAGACUUGCUCGCGGUGUUCCGCCGGUCUUCUGACCGGUCUACUCGCCGCGUUGCAGGCCAGCAUCGUCUGGUGCCGCUGGAUAAGACUUGAGGAAUGUAGCUCCCUCGGGAGUGUUAUAGCCUCUUGUGAUGCAGCGAGCGCCGGGCGAGGUCCGCGCUUCGGCUAGGAUGCUGGCGUAAUGGUUGUAAUCCGCCCGUCUUGAAACACGGACCAAGGAGUCUAACAUCUAUG
rnacentral:rRNA from 1 species